AGUAGAAUUACUGUUGGGAAGUAACUAUGGCAUUAAGGUCUUCCAAGAAGCAGAUGCCAAGAUGGGCUCAAAUGUGCAAGAUAUUUAUGGAAAACCACCUAUGAAGGACAAAGGAACAGAGAACAAGAGCCUUCCCCCAUGUCUAAUACCUGUGAAAGGAGAGAGAGAAGGAAGAAUUUAGUAGGAAGAGCCUGAGGUUGCUGCUUAGUUCUGAGAAAGCCUCAGCGAGGCCGAUGGAGAGCCCUUGAGCUGAGGUUGCCCAUUAGACAAAUUCUGCAUCAGGUAGUACUGGUUCUUUUCUAGUAACCUGGCCAUGCUCAGUCUUUGUGCAGGAGUAGCCCAGGAGAGCAUGGCCUGGGAUAAAUUCCUCAAUGAAUACAAAGUUGCAGCAGCUCAGCUAUGCUAGUCACAGCAGUUUCUUUUAAGGGAAAUCUGAGUAGAACACCUCCAUGGCUAUCACAGCCAACCCAGAUUGUGCAUUUGCUCAUGAACUAGAUAUGGCCACAUGAACAAUAGGUGAUAUUUCCCAGGAGACUCCUGGAGGUGCAAUGAGAUCUCUGCAGUAAGAGGUUGAAUGUGUACCUUUGGAUGUUCACAGAUGAGGGAAGGAAUCAUAAUUGGCUAACAAGAGGAGAUACAUUUGACUAUGUUAAGAGAACUGGAGGACCUCCACCAAGAUCUUGUGAUUGACAUCAUGUCUGGAUGCAGCUGCUUAUAAUCCACAGCCUCUGAAUAUAAAGACAGGUUAUGUCCCCGAAACACAAAAGAUACAAUGAUGAAGAGGAAUAAAACGACUACAACAAACACUUCCACUCAAAAAAGGGACAUAACAGAAGGUGCUGAUCAGAAACCCACAAAUAUCUGCCAGGCUGGCAACAGACCCUAAAGAGAGAGAUUAACAAAAAACAGUUGAGGAGCAAGCUAAAUUCCUACAGGCAAUAGUGGGACCAGAGCUCAUAGGCUGGCACCAAUAGUACAGUUUGGUCCCAAGGAGAAGCAGCAAGGCCAUGCAGGGAAUCACAUAAACAGAUCAGAAACUGAAGUUUGGCUUGCUGACGUGACUUGCUCAAGGUCACAUAGCUACGAAUUGUAGACCUAGAACUAAAAACAUCCUGGCUCCUUGUCUAGUUUUUAUUGCUCUAUCCCAGGUUGUCUAGCUUAACUAACUCUUGCUUCAUGGAGCUUGUAGGAAAGGAUGCCCUGCAAAUGCAGGACGUAAGCAUCUGGGGAAUAUAUCCAAUCAUUCUUGCA
rnacentral:lncRNA from 1 species